GGUUAUAUGGCGCAAUGGUAACGCAUUUGCUUUUGUAACGGAAAGUUUUGGGUUUAAUUUCCGGUGCAACCG
rfam:Gaeumannomyces graminis var. tritici R3-111a-1 unplaced genomic scaffold supercont2.2, whole genome shotgun sequence.